GACACAUGUGUAGGGAAACAGGUGUAGGGAAACAUGUGUAGGGAAACAGGCAUAGGGACACAUGUGUAGGGAAACAUGUGUAGGGAAACAGGCAUAGGGAAACAUGUGUAGGGAAACAUGAGUAGGGAAACAGGCAUAGGGACACAUGUGUAGGGAAACAGGCGUAGGGAAACAUGUGUAGGGAAACAGGCAUAGGGAAACAUGUGUAGGGAAACAUGAGUAGGGAAACAGGCAUAGGGACACAUGUGUAGGGAAACAGGCGUAGGGAAACAUGUGUAGGGAAACAGGCAUAGGGAAACAUGUGUAGGGAAACAUGUGUAGGGAAACAGGCAUAGGGAAACAUGUGUAGGGAAACAGGCAUAGGGAAACAUGUGUAGGGAAACAGGCAUAGGGAAACAUGUGUAGGGAAACAGGCAUAGGGAAACAUGUUUAGGGAAACAGGCAUAGGGACACAUGUGUAGGGAAACAGGCGUAGG
ensembl:lncRNA